rnacentral:rRNA from 1 species
GGUUAAGCGACUAAGCGUACACGGUGGAUGCCCUGGCAGUCAGAGGCGAUGAAGGGCGUGCUAAUCUGCGAUAAGCGCCGGUAAGGUGAUAUGAACCGUUAUAACCGGCGAUACCCGAAUGGGGAAACCCAGUGUGAUUCGUCACACUAUCAUUAACUGAAUCCAUAGGUUAAUGAGGCGAACCGGGGGAACUGAAACAUCUAAGUACCCCGAGGAAAAGAAAUCAACCGAGAUUCCCCCAGUAGCGGCGAGCGAACGGGGAGGAGCCCAGAGCCUGAAUCAGCAUGUGUGUUAGUGGAAGCGUCUGGAAAGGCGCGCGAUACAGGGUGACAGCCCCGUACACAAAAGCGCAUGUGCUGUGAGCUCGAUGAGUAGGGCGGGACACGUGGUAUCCUGUCUGAAUAUGGGGGGACCAUCCUCCAAGGCUAAAUACUCCUGACUGACCGAUAGUGAACCAGUACCGUGAGGGAAAGGCGAAAAGAACCCCGGCGAGGGGAGUGAAAAAGAACCUGAAACCGUGUACGUACAAGCAGUGGGAGCACAGGUUUACCUGUGUGACUGCGUACCUUUUGUAUAAUGGGUCAGCGACUUAUAUUCUGUAGCAAGGUUAACCGUAUAGGGGAGCCGGAGGGAAACCGAGUCUUAAUUGGGCGUUAAGUUGCAGGGUAUAGACCCGAAACCCGGUGAUCUAGCCAUGGGCAGGUUGAAGGUUGGGUAACACUAACUGGAGGACCGAACCGACUAAUGUUGAAAAAUUAGCGGAUGACCUGUGGCUGGGGGUGAAAGGCCAAUCAAACCGGGAGAUAGCUGGUUCUCCCCGAAAGCUAUUUAGGUAGCGCCUCGUGAAUUCAUCUCCGGGGGUAGAGCACUGUUUCGGCUAGGGGGCCAUCCCGGCUUACCAACCCGAUGCAAACUGCGAAUACCGGAGAAUGUUAUCACGGGAGACACACGGCGGGUGCUAACGUCCGUCGUGAAGAGGGAAACAACCCAGACCGCCAGCUAAGGUCCCAAAGUCAUGGUUAAGUGGGAAACGAUGUGGGAAGGCCCAGACAGCCAGGAUGUUGGCUUAGAAGCAGCCAUCAUUUAAAGAAAGCGUAAUAGCUCACUGGUCGAGUCGGCCUGCGCGGAAGAUGUAACGGGGCUAAACCAUGCACCGAAGCUGCGGCAGCGAACGUAUCACUUAAAGCGAUUCAGCGGGUUACGAUUGACGGAGCGAAGCGACGUCAAAGCGUUCAUUAAAGUCGAGUUGGCUUAGGGAUACGUUCGUUGGGUAGGGGAGCGUUCUGUAAGCCUGUGAAGGUGGCCUGUGAGGGUUGCUGGAGGUAUCAGAAGUGCGAAUGCUGACAUAAGUAACGAUAAAGCGGGUGAAAAGCCCGCUCGCCGGAAGACCAAGGGUUCCUGUCCAACGUUAAUCGGGGCAGGGUGAGUCGACCCCUAAGGCGAGGCCGAAAGGCGUAGUCGAUGGGAAACGGGUUAAUAUUCCCGUACUUGGUGUUACUGCGAAGGGGGGACGGAGAAGGCUAUGUUGGCCGGGCGACGGUUGUCCCGGUUUAAGCGUGUAGGUGUGUGUUCCAGGUAAAUCCGGUUCACUUUAACACUGAGGCGUGAUGACGAGGCACUACGGUGCUGAAGCAACAAAUGCCCUGCUUCCAGGAAAAGCCUCUAAGCAUCAGGUAACAUCAAAUCGUACCCCAAACCGACACAGGUGGUCAGGUAGAGAAUACCAAGGCGCUUGAGAGAACUCGGGUGAAGGAACUAGGCAAAAUGGUGCCGUAACUUCGGGAGAAGGCACGCUGACACGUAGGUGAAGUGAUUUACUCACGGAGCUGAAGUCAGUCGAAGAUACCAGCUGGCUGCAACUGUUUAUUAAAAACACAGCACUGUGCAAACACGAAAGUGGACGUAUACGGUGUGACGCCUGCCCGGUGCCGGAAGGUUAAUUGAUGGGGUCAGCGCAAGCGAAGCUCCUGAUCGAAGCCCCGGUAAACGGCGGCCGUAACUAUAACGGUCCUAAGGUAGCGAAAUUCCUUGUCGGGUAAGUUCCGACCUGCACGAAUGGCGUAAUGAUGGCCAGGCUGUCUCCACCCGAGACUCAGUGAAAUUGAACUCGCUGUGAAGAUGCAGUGUACCCGCGGCAAGACGGAAAGACCCCGUGAACCUUUACUAUAGCUUGACACUGAACAUUGAGCCUUGAUGUGUAGGAUAGGUGGGAGGCUUUGAAGCGUGGACGCCAGUCUGCGUGGAGCCGACCUUGAAAUACCACCCUUUAAUGUUUGAUGUUCUAACGUGGACCCGUUACCCGGGUUGCGGACAGUGUCUGGUGGGUAGUUUGACUGGGGCGGUCUCCUCCUAAAGAGUAACGGAGGAGCACGAAGGUUGGCUAAUCCUGGUCGGACAUCAGGAGGUUAGUGCAAUGGCAUAAGCCAGCUUGACUGCGAGCGUGACGGCGCGAGCAGGUGCGAAAGCAGGUCAUAGUGAUCCGGUGGUUCUGAAUGGAAGGGCCAUCGCUCAACGGAUAAAAGGUACUCCGGGGAUAACAGGCUGAUACCGCCCAAGAGUUCAUAUCGACGGCGGUGUUUGGCACCUCGAUGUCGGCUCAUCACAUCCUGGGGCUGAAGUAGGUCCCAAGGGUAUGGCUGUUCGCCAUUUAAAGUGGUACGCGAGCUGGGUUUAGAACGUCGUGAGACAGUUCGGUCCCUAUCUGCCGUGGGCGCUGGAGAACUGAGGGGGGCUGCUCCUAGUACGAGAGGACCGGAGUGGACGCAUCACUGGUGUUCGGGUUGUCAUGCCAAUGGCACUGCCCGGUAGCUAAAUGCGGAAGAGAUAAGUGCUGAAAGCAUCUAAGCACGAAACUUGCCCCGAGAUGAGUUCUCCCUGAGACUUUAGGUCUCCUGAAGGAACGUUGAAGACGACGACGUUGAUAGGCCGGGUGUGUAAGCGCAGCGAUGCGUUGAGCUAACCGGUACUAAUGAACCGUGAGGCUUAACCUU